UACGUAGGGUCCAAGCGUUAAUCGGAAUUACUGGGCGUAAAGCGUGCGCAGGCGGUUGGGCAGGACCGAUGCGAAAUCCCCCGGCUUAACCUGGGAAUUGCAUUGGUGACUGCCCGGCUAGAGUGUGUCAGAGGUGGGUUGAAUUCCACGUGUAGCAGUGAAAUGGGUAGAGAUGUUGAGGCAUACCGAUGGCGAAGGCAGCCCCCUGGGAUAACACUGACGCUCAUGCACGAAAGCGUGGGGAGCAAACAGG
rnacentral:rRNA from 1 species